AGGGUGUAAACGCUGCGGGCUUGGUGUUGGGGGUCCUUUGAGGGCGCCCAGUGCCGGAGAGAAGUUGUUAAGCCUGCUGCUUGGGGAGUACGUCCGCAAGGAUGAAACUUAAAGGAAUUGGCGGGGGAGCACCGCAACGGGAGGAGCGUGCGGUUCAAUUGGAUUCAACGCCGGAAAUCUUACCGGGACCGACAGCAACAUGAAGGCCAAGCUGAAGACUUUGCCGGAUUAGCUGAGAGGAGGUGCAUGGCGUAGUCGUGU
rnacentral:rRNA from 1 species